UACACCAGGGAAGGGAAUAUGGCUUCUCUGACAUAUCUGCUUUGUGUUCUUUAUGUUUUCAUUCCAGGAUCCUGUAGAGAGAUUGUACUGACCCAAUCUCAAGAUUAUAUAUCUGUGUCCCCAGGAGAUACAGUCACCAUCUCAUGUACAUCUAGUUCUGAUAUAAGCAAUUACUUACACUGGUACCAACAGAAACCAGGACAACGACCAAGUCUUCUUAUAUCUUAUGCAACCAGCAGACAUACAGGAGUCCCAGACCGGUUCACUGGAUCUAGAUCUGGAACACAUUUCACUCUUACAAUCAGAGGAGUGACAGAAGAUGAUAUAGCAGAUUAUCACUGUCAGCAGGGUUAUUCUCUCCCUCUUACACAGUGAUACAGAGCCGUACAAAAACCUUCUUCCUCCUAAUAAAAGAAAACACAUUACUGAAGCAUGAUAUAGACAGAAAUAGAAAUAAACCACCAGAGCGUUCAGGGGAUUGUUACAGACUUGGUUCUGCUUGAUCUCAGAUGAAUGUGAUGUCAUUCAGACCUGAUCCUAUAGAUGUGAUUGUGAUACUGAGCGGCUGAUGACAUAACAG